rnacentral:snRNA from 1 species
GUGCUCACUUCGGCAGCACAUAUACUAAAAUUGGAACGAUUCAGAGAAGAUUAGCAUGGCCCCUGCACAAGGAUGACAUGCAAAUUCGUGAAGCAUUCAUAUGUUUU